CUCUCCAAUUGUUUUAUGCUUGCAUAAAUGAUUUUUGGAUUCGGAGCGAGUGGCGAACUGGUGAGUAACACGUGGGUAACCUGCCCCGAAGCGGGGGAUAACAUUUGGAAACAAGUGCUAAUACCGCAUAAUUAGUUGGAACCGCAUGGUUCCAACUUGAAAGAUGGCUCUGCUAUCACUUUGGGAUGGACCCGCGCCGUAUUAGUUAGUUGGUGAGAUAAAAGCCCACCAAGACGAUGAUACGUAGCCGACCUGAGAGGGUAAUCGGCCACAUUGGGACUGAGACACGGCCCAGACUCCUACGGGAGGCAGCAGUAGGGAAUCUUCCACAAUGGACGAAAGUCUGAUGGAGCAACGCCGCGUGAGUGAUGAAGGUUUUCGGAUCGUAAAACUCUGUUGUUAAAGAAGAACAAGUGUUAGAGUAACUGUUAACACUUUGACGGUAUUUAACCAGAAAGCCACGGCUAACUACGUGCCAGCAGCCGCGGUAAUACGUAGGUGGCAAGCGUUGUCCGGAUUUAUUGGGCGUAAAGCGAGCGCAGGCGGUUUUGUAAGUCUGCUGUGAAAGCCCUCAGCUCAACUGAGGAAGUGCAGUGGAAACUACAAAACUUGAGUACAGAAGAGGAAAGUGGAACUCCAUGUGUAGCGGUGAAAUGCGUAGAUAUAUGGAAGAACACCAGUGGCGAAGGCGGCUUUCUGGUCUGUUACUGACGCUGAGGCUCGAAAGCAUGGGUAGCGAACAGGAUUAGAUACCCUGGUAGUCCAUGCCGUAAACGAUGAAUACUAGGUGUUGGAGGGUUUCCGCCCUUCAGUGCCGCAGCUAACGCAUUAAUGUAUUUCCGCCUGGGGAGUACUGACCGCAAGAGUUUGAAACUCAAAGGAAUUUGACUGGGGGCCCCGCACAUGUGGUGGAGCAUGUGGUUUUAAUUCGAUGCUACGCGAAUAACCUUACCAGCUCUGACAUCUUCUGCCAACCCAAUAGAUUGGGCGUUCCCUUUCGGGGACAGAAUGACAGGUGGUGCAUGGUUUUCUUUAAACUCGGGUCGGGAAAAUGUUGGGGUUAAAUUCCCGCUACCACCCCCAAACCCUUUUUUAAUUUGCCCCGCCUUUAUUUGGGCACUCUUUUGGAAAUUGGG
rnacentral:rRNA from 1 species